GGGGUUGUGGCUCAGUGGCAGAGCACUUGCCUCGCAUAUGUAAGACCCUGGGUUCGAUCUUCAGCACCACA
rnacentral:tRNA from 1 species